AUUGAACGCUGGCGGCAGGCCUAACACAUGCAAGUCGAGCGAGCGGCGGACGGGUGAGUAAUGUAUGGGGACUGCCCGAUAGAGGGGGAUAACUACUGGAAACGGUGGCUAAUACCGCAUACUAUCGGAUAACCCAUAUGGUAUUAGCUCGUAGGUGGGGUAAAGGCUCACCUAGGCGACGAUCUCUAGCUGGUCUGUGAGGAUGAUCAGCCAAACUGGGACUGAGACGCGGCGCAGACUCCAAGGGAGGCAGCAGUGGGGAAGAUUGCACAAUGGGCGCAAGCAUGAUGCAGCCAUGCCGCGUGUAUGAAGAAGGCCUUAGGGUUGUAAAGUACGUUCAGCGGGGAGGCGUUACCCGCAGAAGAAGCACCGGCUAACUCCGUGACAGCCGCCGCGGUAAUUC
rnacentral:rRNA from 1 species